UCCUAAAAUUAUUUGAUAAGGAUUCUGAGAUGUUGACUUUUCUAGAAACCAAUGGCAAGCAUACAAGUAUAGGAUGCGGAACAAUAAUAAGAUGCGAGGGGAAUCACUACACUGUAUUGUCUUGCGAGCAUAUUUUUAAUCCUAUUGAGAAGAUUUAUGCUCGAUCAUUUGAUGGUGGGAAAUACAAAGUUGGAGUGCUAUUUAUGGACAAGCAGUCUGACAUAUCAACAGUGAGGAUAGUAUCUGAAGUUCCACUAGAAGUAGCAACAUUGGGUGAUUCAACUAAGUUGUUGCCCGGUACUAUGGUAGGUGCUUUGGGAUGUCCUCUGGGAUUACCAAAUACCUUCACAGCUGGAGUAGUGAGUUCUGUUGGGCGUAAAAGCUUUGAGCUGCAACAUGUGGAUUUUCAGGGAUAUCUGAAGGAGGUCAUCGUCAUGGACAUAGUCCUCAGCAAUGGAAACUCUGGAGGACCCCGUAUCAAUUUGGACGGGGAGGUAGUUGGUGUUAAUAGUCGAGGGAUUAGAAGGUUUUAUGAAAGGGGUUUGGCAAGGAUUAAUCGGUUGGGAUUUGCUAUCCCAAUUGAAUAUGUUUGCAAAAUGUUGGACACCGUCAGCCGAGAAGGGGGAAUUAGGCGACGUUUGCUUGGUUUGCAAACACGUGAUCUCACUACGGAGAGGAUUGCACAACUAAAGAGAUUGGAGAAGUACAAAUUUCUUGGCAAGAAGGCUAUUCUAUUUUUUUGACUAGUCAAUGUAAAUAUAACUUUUCAGCAAGAUAUCAGCAUACGCUUUGCAUUCCAAUAACCAGGCACCUAGAGGUUUUCCUGCGAGUAAGGCUGGAAUUGUGAUUAAAUUCAACAAUGAGACUGUUGGAAGUAUUAAAGAGAUCACUGAUAUCAUGGAACACAAUAUGGAUCGUGAAACAUUCUCGGUUGUUGUAAUGAACAACGGUGUUCCAAAAAGGCGUUUUAUAACUCCAGAGGCAGUUAGUGAAGAAAUGUCAAAUAGUUUAGUUUAGCAACACAGUCACAGCACAAUGAUGGCAGACAGUUACUUUAGGGUGUUUUCUUUUAGAAUGUUCAUUGUUCCUCUUGUAAUUGUAUGGUAACAAUUGACGUGUUUUGAAUGUUUGGAAAUUGAGUUUUGAGGUGUCUGAAAUAUUUUUGUUUUAUCUGAGAGUAAACUUACUAGACUUGCCUCUUA